rnacentral:miRNA from 1 species
UCUCCCCCAUGGAUGUGGAAGGAGUUAUCUGUCUCCAGUCAGAUAGCUGUCACUAGUCAGUUAACUCCUUCCACACCCAUGGGGGAGA